CCGAGAUGAGUUCUCCCUGACUCUUUAAGAGUCCUGAAGGAACGUUGAAGACGACGACGUUGAUAGGCCGGGUGUGUAAGCGCAGCGAUGCGUUGAGCUAACCGGUACUAAUGAACCGUGAGGCUUAACCUUACAACGCCGAAG
rnacentral:rRNA from 1 species